rnacentral:misc_RNA from 1 species
GAAAUGCGAUAAGUAGUGUGAAUUGCAGAAUUCAGUGAAUCAUCGAAUCUUGAACGCACAUUGCGCCCCUUGGUAUUCCAUGGGGCAUGCCUGUUCGAGCGUCAUUUGUACCCUCAAGCUCUGCUUGGUGUUGGGUGUUUGUCCCCGUCUCCGCGCGUGGACUCGCCCCAAAGUGAUUGGCAGCCGGCGUACUGGUCCCGGAGCGCAGCACAUGUCGCGCAAACGAGUGCCUUGGUACGGCGGCGUCCAUAAGCCCCUCUCUCACGCUCUUGACCUCGGAUCAGGUAGGGAUACCCGCUGAACUUAAGC